rnacentral:rRNA from 1 species
UACGUAGGGGGCAAGCGUUGUCCGGAUUUAUUGGGCGUAAAGAGCGUGUAGGCGGCCUGAUAGGUCAGCUGUGAAAACUCGAGGCUCAACCUCGAGACGUCGGUUGAAACCAUCUGGCUAGAGUCCGGAAGAGGAGUGUGGAAUUCCCGGUGUAGCGGUGAAAUGCGCAGAUAUCGGGAAGAACACCCGUGGCGAAGGCGGCACUCUGGGACGGUACUGACGCUGAGACGCGAAAGCGUGGGGAGCAAACGGG